CACCGCCCGUCGCUCCUACCGAUUGAAUGGUCUGGUGAAGUGUUCGGAUCGCGGCGACCGGGGCGGUUCGCCGCCCCCGACGUCGCGAGAAGUCCAUUGAACCUUAUCAUUUAGAGGAAGGAGAAGUCGUAACAAGGUUUCCGUAGGUGAACCUGCGGAAG
rnacentral:rRNA from 1 species